ACAGAGGUCCCAAGCGUUGUUCGGAUUUACUGGGCGUAAAGGGUGCGUAGGCGGUUGUUUAAGUCUGACGUGAAAUCUCCGGGCCUAACCCGGAAACUGCGUUGGAUACUAUUCAACUAGAGGAAUGGAGGGGAGACUGGAAUACUUGGUGUAGCAGUGAAAUGCGUAGAUAUGCGGAGGAACACCGAUGGCGAAGGCAAUCCCCUGGGCCUGCACUGACGCUCAUGCACGAAAGCGUGGGGAGCAAACAGGA
rnacentral:rRNA from 1 species